rnacentral:rRNA from 1 species
CGAAACUGCGAACGGCUCAUUAAAUCAGUUAUUGUUUAUUUGAUAAUACCUUUACUACUCGGAUAACCGUAGUAAUUCUAGAGCUAAUACGUGCUAAAAACUCCAUUCGCAAGAGUGGGGUGUAUUUAUUAGAUAAAAAACCAAUGCAGGGGGCAACUCCUGGUCAUUGAUGAAUCAUGAUAACUUCGCGAAUCGCAUAGCCUUGUGCUGGCGAUGAUUCAUUCAAAUUUCUGCCCUAUCAACUUUCGAUGGUAGUGUAGUGGACUACCAUGGUCGUAACGGGUGACGGAGAAUUAGGGUUCGGUUCCGGAGAGGGAGCCUGAGAGACGGCUACCACUUCCAAGGAAGGCAGCAGGCGCGCAAAUUACCCAAUGGCAAUACGCCGAGGUAGUGACAAUAAAUAACA